AUUGAACGCUGGCGGCAGGCCUAACACAUGCAAGUCGAACGAGUGGCGGACGGGUGAGUAAUGUCUGGGAAACUGCCCGAUGGAGGGGUAUAACUACUGGAAACGGUAGCUAAUACCGCAUACCAUCGGAUGUGCCCAGAUGGGAUUAGCUGGUAGGUGGGGUAACGGCUCACCGGGGCGCCGAUCCCUGGCUGGUCUGAGAGGACGACCAGCCACAUUGGAACUGAGAUACGGUCUCGACUCCUACGUGAGGCAGAAGUGUGGAAUAUGGCACAAUGGGGUCAAGCCUGUUGCAGCCAUGCCGCGUGUAUGAAGAAGGCCGUCGGGUUGUAAGGUACUUUCAGCGACGAGGAGUUACUCGCAGAAGAAGCACCGGCUAAGUCCGUGCCAGCAGCCGCGGUAAUAC
rnacentral:rRNA from 1 species